CUUUGAAACUUUGACGUCAGGCAUUGACUUCUCACUAGCUAUGAAAGUUCUAG
rnacentral:miRNA from 1 species